CCUACUAAGUUGAAGCAUAUCACUAAGCAGAGGAAAAGAAACCAACAAGGAUUUCCAUAGUAAUGGCGAGCAAACUGGAAAAUGUCUAGAUUGGAAAGUGAGGUGCACAUGCACCUUGAGUUGUAGUCUGAAGCAUCCUCUGCGGUAGACUGGGCCUAGGUUCCUUGGAAUGCAACGCUGGAGACAGUGAGAGCACAGUUCAGUCCAGAUCCUAUUGCAUGAUGAGGUGUUGUCGUGGAGUCGGGUUGUUUGGGAAUGCAGCCUCAAUUGGGUAGUAAAUCCCAUCCAAGGCUAGAUACUGGCAAGAGACAGAUAGUAAACAAAUAGUGCAAGGGAAAGAUGAAAAGGACUUGAAAAGAGAGUUAAAGAGUGCUUGAAAUUUCUAGGAGGUGUUAUGCCUCAUGUUUUAGGCAUAAGUCUCUCCCUGCAAUACCCUCAGUGAGGGCUUUCCAACAAGCAUGUUCUUGAGUUAAUCCAACCUUUGAGUAUGGAGAUUUAUUAUUUUCACUAAUGAGGUUUAUUAACUUAGCAAGAACUGUGAAACGACCAAGGCCUGGGGUGAGCUCCCAUACAUUCUGAUGUACCGGAGACACCAACCAAACAAACAAUAGGGAUUGGGUGGCUCAUGUUAAACAAUAGUGCUGCCUUCUCUUGGAGCAUACAUCUCAUCAAGGCAGCAUUGCCUUCUCCUCAUAAACACAUGCAACAAGCAAGUGCCAUUCUGAAUCAUUG
rnacentral:ncRNA from 1 species